rnacentral:SRP_RNA from 17 species
CCGGCAUCCAGCAGCCCCAGCGGUGUCUUGCCUUGCGCGGCGUUCCCG